rnacentral:rRNA from 1 species
GGAGUUUGGACCGUAUCUCAGUUCCAAUGUGGCCGAUCAGCCUCUCAGCUCGGCUAUGCAUCGUUGCCUUGGUGAGCCAUUACCUCACCAACAAGCUAAUACACCGCAAGCUCAUCUCGAAGUGAAGCCGAAGCUUCUUUUAGCAUAUCUAGUUAUCUAAAUAUGAAUUAUUCGGUAUUAGCAUCCGUUUCCAGAAGUUAUCCCAAUCUUCGAGGUAGAUUACCCACGUGUUACUCACCCGUCUGCCACUAGGGGAAAAUUCCACGUCAAGAUAAAUCCGAUAUUGUGCAAGCACUCCAUUUUCAAUAUCUAUCAGUGGGUCCCCUCGUUCGACUUGCAUGUCUUAGGCAUGCCGCCAGCGUUCAUC